CUAGGAACCGUACCCCAAACCGACACAGGUGGUUGGGUAGAGAAUACCAAGGCGCUUGAGAGAACUCGGGUGAAGGAACUAGGCAAAAUGGCACCGUAACUUCGGGAGAAGGUGCGCCGGCGAGGGUUAAGGAUUUACUCCGUAAGCCCAUGCCGGUCGAAGAUACCAGGCCGCUGCGACUGUUUAUUAAAAACACAGCACUCUGCAAACACGAAAGUGGACGUAUAGGGUGUGACGCCUGCCCGGUGCCGGAAGGUUAAUUGAUGG
rnacentral:rRNA from 1 species